rnacentral:rRNA from 1 species
UACGUAGGGUGCAAGCGUUGUCCGGAUUUACUGGGCGUAAAGAGCGUGUAGGCGGCCAAGCAGGUCCGUUGUGAAAACUGGAGGCUUAACCUCCAGACGUCGACGGAAACCGCGUGGCUAGAGUCCGGAAGAGGAGAGUGGAAUUCCUGGUGUAGCGGUGAAAUGCGCCAGAUAUCAGGAAGAACACCAAUGGCGAAGGCAGCUCUCUGGGACGGUACUGACGCUGAGACGCGAAAGCGUGGGGAGCGAACAGG